rnacentral:rRNA from 1 species
UUAAGUCCCGCAACGAGCCGCAACCCUUGUCAUUAGUUGCCAUUCAUUUUAGUUGGGGCACUCUAGUGAGACUGCCGGUGACAAACCGGAGGAAGGUGGGAUGACGUCAAGUCCUCAUGGCCCUUAUGGGUAGGGCUUCACACGUCAUACAAUGGUCGGUACAGAGGGUUGCCAAGCCGCGAGGUGGAGCCAAUCCCAGAAAACCUGUCUCAGUCCGGAUUGAAGUCUGCAACUCGACUUCAUGAAGGCGGAAUCGCUAGUAACCGCGAAUCAGCAGGUCCGCGGUCGAAUACGUUCCCGGGCCUU